AGCGAACGCUGGCGGCAGGCCUAACACAUGCAAGUCGAACGAACCUUUCGGGGUUAGUGGCGGACGGGUGAGUAACACGUGGGAACGUGCCUUUAGGUUCGGAAUAACUCAGGGAAACUUGUGCUAAUACCGAAUGUGCCCUUCGGGGGAAAGAUUUAUCGCCUUUAGACCGGCCGGCGUCUGAUUAGCUAGUUGGGUGAGGUAAUGGCUCACCAAGGCGACGAUGAGUAGCUGGUCGGAGAGGAUGAUCAGCCACAUUGGGACUGAGACACGGACCAAAAUCCUACGGGAGGCAGCAGUGGGGAAUCUUGCGCAAGGGGCGAAAGCCUGACGCAGCCAUGCCGCGUGAAUGAUGAAGGUCUUAGGAUUGUAAAAUUCUUUCACCCGGGACGAUAAUGACGGUACCCGGAGAAGAAGCCCCGGCUAACUUCGUG
rnacentral:rRNA from 1 species